CGAACUGUGCGAACGUUAUUCGGAAUCACUGGGCUUACAGGGUGCGUAGGCGGCUAUUCAGGUCAGGUGUGAAAGCCCUCGGCUCAACCGAGGAACUGCGCUUGAAACCGGAUGGCUCGAGUCAGCUAGAGGUACACGGAACUUCCAGUGGAGCGGUGAAAUGUGUUGAUAUUGGAAGGAACACCGGAGGCGAAAGCGGUGUACUGGGGCUGGUCUGACGCUGAGGCACGAAAGCCAGGGGAGCGAACGGGAUUAGAUACCCCGGUAGUCCUGGCCGUAAACGAUGAGUGCUGGACGGGAGGAGGUUCGCCUUCUCCGGUCGGAGCGAAAGCGGGAAGCACUCCGCCUGGGGAGUAUGGUCGCAAGGCUG
rnacentral:rRNA from 1 species